rnacentral:rRNA from 1 species
AUUGAACGCUGGCGGCAGGCCUAACACAUGCAAGUCGAGCGAAGGAAGGGAGCUGGUUCCUGGAUUAAGCGGCGGACGGGUGAGUAAUGCGUAGGAAGCUGACUGGGAGUGUGGGAUAACGUCCGGAAACGGGCGCUAAUACCGCAUACGGCCUAAUGGAGAAAGUGAGGGAUCUUCGGACCGCACGCUAUAAGAUGAGCCUAGGUCGGAUUAGCUAGUUGGUGUGGUAAUGGCCUACCAAGGCGACGAUACGUAACUGGUCUGAGAGGAUGAUCAGUCACACUGGAACUGAGACACGGUCCAGACUCCUACGGGAGGCAGCAGUGGCGAAUAUUGCCCAAUGGGCGAAAGCCUGAUCCAGCCACGCCGCGUGUGUGACGAAGGUCUUCGGAUUGUAAAGCACUUUAAGUUGGGAGGAAGUAAAGUACGUUUAUAUAUGGCUGUUUUGACGGUACCAAAAGAAUAAGCUCCGGCUAACUUCGUG